GGUGUAUAACAGGUGAAUAGCAGGUGUAUAACAGGUGUAUAACAGGUGAAUAGCAGGUGUAUAACAGGUGUAUAACAGGUGAAUAGCAGGUGUAUAACAGGUGAAUAGCAGGUGUAUAACAGGUGUAUAACAGGUGAAUAGCAGGUGUAUAACAGGUGAAUAGCAGGUGUAUAACAGGUGAAUAGCAGGUGUAUAACAGGUGAAUAGCAGGUGUAUAACAGGUGAAUAGCAGGUGUAUAACAGGUGAAUAGCAGGUGUAUAACAGGUGUAUAACAGGUGUAUAACAGGUGAAUAGCAGGUGUAUAACAGGUGUAUAACAGGUGAAUAGCAGGUGUAUAACAGGUGUAUAGCAGGUGUAUAACAGGUGAAUAGCAGGUGUAUAACAGGUGAAUAGCAGGUGUAUAACAGGUGUAUAGCAGGUGU